rnacentral:pre_miRNA from 13 species
UAAUUUAUUUGUGGCAAAUAUUUGUUUAGUUAUGGCAGAUUCACAUCUGACUACUCAAAAUCAUCCGUUAUCACAAGUUGGACUAUAUCAUUUACAUUGAAAAACAUAAAACAACUAUUGUCUGAAUAAUAAUUU